rnacentral:rRNA from 1 species
CGCCUCCCUCCGCCGCCAUCAGACUACCGUACGGGACGGCGAGCGAGGUAGGGGUAAGUUUUGGCGCAAGUACGGGGGUAAACCCGUAGACGUAGCAACGCCGCGUGGAGGAGUGUAAAUACCGUUGGAUGUAAACUCCGUUCGAUAGGGAAGAUAAUGACGGUACCUAUAGAAGAAGCCCGGCUAACUUCGUGCCAGCAGCCGCGGUAAUAC